rnacentral:rRNA from 1 species
AGCAGCCGCGGUAAUUCCAGCUCCAAUAGCGUAUAUUAAAGUUGUUGCAGUUAAAAAGCUCGUAGUUGAAGUUCGGGGUUAGUAGGUUGGUCAUGCCUCUGGUAUGUACUGGUCUCACUGAUUCCUCCUUCCUGAUGAGCCGUAAUGCCAUUAAUUUGGUGUUGCGGGGAAUUUGGACUGUUACUUUGAAAAAAUUAGAGUGUUUAAAGCAAGCUAACGCUUGAAUACAUUAGCAUGGAAUAAUGAAAUAGGACGUUCGAUCCUAUUUUGUUGGUUUCUAGGAUUGACGUAGUGAUUAAUAGGGAUAGUUGGGGGACAUUAGUAUUCAAUUGUCAGAGGUGGAAUUCUUGGAUUUAUUGAGGACUAACUACUGCGAAAGCAUUUGCCAAGGAUGUUUUCAUUAAUCAAGAACGAAAGUUAGGGGAUCGAAGACGAUCAGAUACCGUCGUAGUCUUAACCAUAAACUAUGCCGACUAGGGAUCGGAUGAUGUUAAUUUUUUAAUGACUCAUUCGGCGCCUU